rnacentral:rRNA from 1 species
AUUGAACGCUGGCGGCAUGCCUUACACAUGCAAGUCGAACGGCAGCGCGGGAGCAAUCCUGGCGGCGAGUGGCGAACGGGUGAGUAAUACAUCGGAACGUGCCCAAUCGUGGGGGAUAACGCAGCGAAAGCUGUGCUAAUACCGCAUACGAUCUACGGAUGAAAGCAGGGGAUCGCAAGACCUUGCGCGAAUGGAGCGGCCGAUGGCAGAUUAGGUAGUUGGUGAGGUAAAGGCUCACCAAGCCUUCGAUCUGUAGCUGGUCUGAGAGGACGACCAGCCACACUUGGACUGAGACACGGCCCAGACUCCUACGGGAGGCAGCAGUGGGGAAUUUUGGACAAUGGGCGAAAGCCUGAUCCAGCCAUGCCGCGUGCAGGAUGAAGGCCUUCGGGUUGUAAACUGCUUUUGUACGGAACGAAACGGUCUUUUCUAAUAAAGAAGGCUAAUGACGGUACCGUAAGAAUAAGCACCGGCUAACUACGUG